GACGAACGCUGGCGGCGUGCUUAACACAUGCAAGUCGAGCGGUAAGGCCCUUUCGGGGUACGACGAGCGGCGAACGGGUGAGUAACACGUGGGUGACCUGCCCUCAGCUCUGGGAUAAGCCUGGGAAACCGGGUCGUAAUACCGGAUAUGACUCCAUGACGCAUGUUGUGGGUGGAAAGCCUUGUGCGGCUGAGGAUGGGCCGCGGCCUAUCAGCUUGUUGGUGGGGUGAUGGCCUACCAAGGCGACGACGGGUAGCCGGCCU
rnacentral:rRNA from 1 species